UACAGGGGGGGCAAGCGUUGUUCGGAAUUACUGGGCGUAAAGGGCUCGUAGGCGGCCAACUAAGUCGGACGUGAAAUCCCUCGGCUUAACCGGGGAACUGCGUCUGAUACUGGAUGGCUUGAAUCCGGGAGAGGGAUGCGGAAUUCCAGGUGUAGCGGUGAAAUGCGUAGAUAUCUGGAGGAACACCGGUGGCGAAGGCGGCAUCCUGGACCGGUUCUGACGCUGAGGCGCGAAAGCGUGGGUAGCAAACAGG
rnacentral:rRNA from 1 species